rnacentral:lncRNA from 1 species
AUUCCUACUAAGAGGAGUAGUAUUCCCAGUUAUCUCUUUGUGAAGUUCUUGGACCAGACUACCACAGGUUAUAGGUAUCAGUAGAGAGAACAGUAGGAAUGUUUGGUGGGAAGCAGGUAGACUGCAGACAGACAUGAACCAACCUUUUGUCCAGGGGCUCCAUCUUCUCCUGGAAGACCAGGCAAACCUGCCAGUCCUGAAGGGCCUGGCUCACCCUGACAUCAAUAAAAAAUUUCCCCUGGAAAAAUGAAAAAGCAAAACAGGUUGUGAGGAUAUAUAACCCAA